rnacentral:lncRNA from 1 species
GCCAAUUUCGUAGCUACAAAUGUAAAAAAAAAUACAAAACAAAGACGAAAAACAUUUACCUUGAAUACUUUGUCGUGGCUUAGGCAUGUUUUUUAAAUAAUUAGACCAGUUUAUGCUUCAAUAUUACUCUUUUAAAGCGGAAAAUAUAGCGAAACAACAAAAAUGCCGAGAACUUUGCAAUACGCGUGACGUCACAGAUUGCAACUAGGUUGUUUUUGCUUACGACAGCUAGAGUCCUAUCCAUUUAUUUUAUUAUCCAUGAUGCACCGUAG